CCAGCAGCUGCGGUAAUUCCAGCUCCAAUAGCGUAUACUAAAGUUGUUGCAGUUAAAAAGCUCGUAGUUGAAUUUCUGGCUUCGGAACACGGUCGACCUCUAGGGGCCUGUACCUGUGGAUCGGAGCCAUCCUCGGGGAGAACAUGUCUGCUAUUAAGUUAGUGGGCAUGGGACCCUCGUCAUUUACUGUGAGCAAAAUAGAGUGUUCAAAGCAGGCUUACGCCGUUGAAUACAUUAGCAUGGAAUAAUAAGAUAGGACCUUGGUCUAUUUUGUUGGUUUGUACUCCAAGGUAAUGAUUAAUAGGGAUAGUUGGGGGUAUUCGUAUUCAAUUGUCAGAGGUGAAAUUCUUGGAUUUAUGGAAGACGAACUACUGCGAAAGCAUUUACCAAGGAUGUUUUCAUUAAUCAAGAACGAAAGU
rnacentral:rRNA from 1 species